AAUCAACGCUGGCGGCGUGCCUAACACAUGCAAGUCGAACGAGAAAGUGGAGCAAUCCAUGAGUAAAGUGGCGACCGGGUGAGUAACACGUGACUAACCUACCCUUGAAUGGGGAAUAACCUUCCGAAAGGAGGGCUAAUACCGCAUAACGUCCUAAGGAUGAAACGCCUAAGGACCAAAGGAGCAAUUCGUUUAAGGAGGGGGUCGCGGUUGAUUAGCUAGUUGGUGGGGUAAUGGCCCACCAAGGCGAUGAUCAAUAGCCGGCCUGAGAGGGCGC
rnacentral:rRNA from 1 species